CUCGCCUAACGCCGCCAACAUGGUGUUCAGGCGCUUCGUGGAGGUUGGCCGGGUGGCCUACGUCUCCUUUGGACCUCAUGCCGGAAAAUUGGUCGCGAUUGUAGAUGUUAUUGAUCAGAACAGGGCUUUGGUCGAUGGACCUUGCACUCAAGUGAGGAGACAGGCCAUGCCUUUCAAGUGCAUGCAGCUCACUGAUUUCAUCCUCAAGUUUCCACACAGUGCCCGCCAGAAGUAUGUCCGACAAGUGUGGCAGAAGGCAGACAUCAAUACAAAAUGGACAGCCACACGAUGGGCCAAGAAGAUUGAAGCCAGAGAAAGGAAAGCCAAGAUGACAGAUUUUGAUCGUUUUAAAGUUAUGAAGGCAAAGAAAAUGAGGAACAGAAUAAUCAAGAAUGAAGUUAAGAAGCUUCAAAAGGCAGCUCUCCUGAACAAAAUACAGUGCCUGGCAAACACCUUUACAAGCAAUGAUAGUAAUAAUAUGGCUGCCUCCUGCACUAGACUCUAUGGCUCUCCGAUGGCCAUGAGGAGGAUGGAUUUGGGGGCUUUUGACAAUAGCCUCCACUGA